GUAGUCAUAUGCUUGUCUCAAAGAUUAAGCCAUGCAUGUCUAUGCACAAGCCGAUUAAUGGUGANGCCGCGAAUGGCUCAUUACAACAGCCACUGUUUACUUGAUCUUGACUAUCCUACUUGGAUAACUGUGGUAAUUCUAGAGCUAAUACACGCAAUAAAGCUCCGACCUUACGGGACGAGCGCAUUUAUUAGACCAAAACCAAUCGGGCUUCGGCCUGAGCCGUUGGUGACUCUGAAUAACUGAGCUGAUCGCAUGGUCUUUGUACCGGCGACGCAUCUUUCAAGUGUCUGCCUUAUCAACUUUCGAUGGUAGUUUAUGUGCCUACCAUGGUUGUUACGGGUAACGGAGAAUAAGGGUUCGACUCCGGAGAGGGAGCCUGAGAAACGGCUACCACAUCCAAGGAAGGCAGCAGGCGCGCAAAUUACCCACUCUCGGCACGAGGAGGUAGUGACGAAAAAUAACGAGGCGGUUCUCUAUGAGGCCCGCUAUCGGAAUGGGUACAAUUUAAACCCUUUAACGAGGACCUAUGAGGAGGCAAGUCUGGUGCCAGCAGCC
rnacentral:rRNA from 1 species